CUCAAAGGAAUUGACGGGGGCCCGCACAAGCAGCGGAGCAUGUGGUUUAAUUCGACGCAACGCGAAGAACCUUACCAGGUCUUGACAUCCAGUAAAACUUGCAGAGAUGCAUCGUGAGCUUGCUCAUACUGAGACAGGUGGUGCAUGGUUGUCGUCAGCUCGUGUCGUGAGAUGUUGGGUUAAGUCCCGCAACGAGCGCAACCCUUAUUUUCAGUUACUAACGCGUAGAGGCGAGGACUCUGAAGAGACUGCCGGGGACAACUCGGAGGAAGGUGGGGACGACGUCAAAUCAUCAUGCCCCUUAUGACCUGGGCUACACACGUGCUACAAUGGCCACCACAGAGAGGAGCGAACCUGCGAGGGGGAGCGGAUCUCAAAAAAGUGGUCCCAGUUCGGAUUGUGGGCUGCAACCCGCCCACAUGAAGUCGGAGUUGCUAGUAAUCGCGGAUCAGCAUGCCGCGGUGAAUACGUUCCCGGGCCUUGUACACACCGCCCGUC
rnacentral:rRNA from 1 species